rnacentral:rRNA from 1 species
GACGAACGCUGGCGGCGUGCUUAACACAUGCAAGUCGAACGGAAAGGCCCUGCUUUUGUGGGGUGCUCGAGUGGCGAACGGGUGAGUAACACGUGAGUAACCUGCCCUUGACUUUGGGAUAACUUCAGGAAACUGGGGCUAAUACCGGAUAUGAGCUCCUGCUGCAUGGUGGGGGUUGGAAAGUUUCGGCGGUUGGGGAUGGACUCGCGGCUUAUCAGCUUGUUGGUGGGGUAGUGGCUUACCAAGGCUUUGACGGGUAGCCGGCCUGAGAGGGUGACCGGCCACAUUGGGAAUGAGAUACGGCCCAGACUGCUACGGGAGGCAGCAGUGGGGAAUAUUGCACAAUGGGCGGAAGCCUGAUGCAGCAACGCAGCGUGCGGGAUGACGGCCUUCGGGUUGUAAACCGCUUUCGCCUGUGACGAAGCGUGAGUGACGGUAAUGGGUAAAGAAGCACCGGCUAACUACGUG